rnacentral:rRNA from 1 species
AACUGACGCUCAGGCACGAAAGCGUGGGGAUCAAACAGGAUUAGAUACCCUGGUAGUCCACGCAGUAAACGAUGAUAACUUGUUGUCGGCGAUAGACAGUCGGUGACAAAGCGAAAGCGAUAAGUUAUCCACCUGGGGAGUACGAUCGCAAGGUUGAAACUCAAAGGAAUUGACGGGGGCCCGCACAAGCGGAGGAGCAUGUGGUUUAAUUCGAUGAUACGCGAGGAACCUUACCUGGACUCAAAUGUUGACUGACCGAUCCAGAAAUGGAUUUUUCCUUCGGGACAGUCAGCAAGGUGCUGCAUGGUUGUCGUCAGCUCGUGCCGUGAGGUGUCAGGUUAAGUCCUAUAACGAGCGCAACCCCUACGUCCAGUUGCCAGCGGGUAAAGCCGGGGACUCUGGAGGGACUGCCGGCGCAAGCCGAGAGGAAGGUGGGGAUGACGUCAAAUCAGCACGGCCCUUACGUCCAGGGCGACACACGUGCUACAAUGGCCGGUACAGAGGGCAGCCACCUGGUGACAGGGAGCGAAUCUCGAAAGCCGGUCUCAGUUCGGAUCGGAGUCUGCAACUCGACUCCGUGAAGUUGGAUUCGCUAGUAAU